GUGGGUAAGCAGUGAGAAAAAUGAGGGGGCUAAGUGGACAGUGUAAAAUGAAAGUGACCAGGGGAAUAUUCCGGGUGCACCAAGUUGGUCGGAAUUGUGGGGGGAAAAAACUGUCCAAAAGGAGCCGCUGGAAAAAGUGACCGGAGAAGGCUCACGCGCGUGGCGCGUGGAUGUCGCUGGCGGCACGUGGGUGGUCAACGGCGGCGCGUGAGGCAGAUUCCGGCGACGAAAUUUGCAGGGGGUGUGCGCCUGACGUUGUGUGUCUCGGUGGUGUAGGAGGUUGUUGGACAAUACGCUUUACGCUAGAGGGGGGGUGAAUAGCGUUUUUAAAAAUAUUAAGCGUUUUAGUGCGGAAUUUAAAAUUUGCUUUGUUUGACAUUCAUCAAAACCUACAAAAGAACACACGUUUAGUAUAUUGCAUUUGAAACGUGUUUCCAACAGAGGUGUCGAAGAAAGAUCGCCGUAAGAGACCACUGUUGGCGGAAACUUUGCCGGAACAGUGUUCCGAGCAGAGAGAGAGAGAGGGGUACUUACCUGUAGGUUCCGGCGACUCGGAGGUGGUGCCGAUGGUGUUAACCAGAGAGAUGGAUGGAAGUUGAAGCCAAAGAGAGAGAGAGGGAGGAAGAGAGAGAAAGAGAAGGUAUUUUUUUGAUGAAGAGAGAGUAA
rnacentral:lncRNA from 1 species